AAGGGCUUAGCUUAAAUUAAAGUAACUGGUUUGCGUUCAGUUGAUGCAGAAUGAGAUUCUGUAGUCCUUA
rnacentral:tRNA from 1 species